UACGGGGGUGGCAAGCGUUGUUCGGAAUUACUGGGCGUAAAGGGCUCGUAGGCGGCCAACUAAGUCAGACGUGAAAUCCCUCGGCUUAACCGGGGAACUGCGUCUGAUACUGGAUGGCUUGAAUCCGGGAGAGGGAUGCGGAAUUCCAGGUGUAGCGGUGAAAUGCGUAGAUAUCUGGAGGAACACCGGUGGCGAAGGCGGCAUCCUGGACCGGCAUUGACGCUGAGGAGCGAAAGCCAGGGGAGCAAACGGG
rnacentral:rRNA from 1 species